rnacentral:rRNA from 1 species
UAGAAUUGACGGGGCCGCACAAGCGGUGGAGCAUGUGGUUAAUUCGACGCAACGCGAAGAACCUUACCAGGGCUUGACAUCCCCUGACCGUCUAUGAAAGUAGGCUUUCUACCUUCGGGUAGACAGGGAGACAGGUGGUGCAUGGUUGUCGUCAGCUCGUGUCGCGAGAUGUUGGGUUAAGUCCCGCAACGAGCGCAACCCUUACGGUUAGUUGCCAGCGGGUUAUGCCGGGCACUCUAGCUGAACUGCCGUUGACAAAACGGAGGAAGGUGGGAUGACGUCAAAUCAUCAUGCCCUUUAUGUCCUGGGCUACACACGUGCUACAAUGGCCUGUACAGAGGGAAGCGAAAGGGUGACCUGGAGCGAAUCCCAAAAAGCAGGUCUCAGUUCGGAUUGCAGGCUGCAACCCGCCUGCAUGAAGUCGGAAUCGCUAGUAAUCGCAGGUCAGCAUACUGUGGUGAAUACGUUCCCGGGCCUU